rnacentral:rRNA from 1 species
GACAGAGGUGCCGAGCGUUAGGCGGAAUCACUGGGCUUAAAGCGUGUGUAGGCGGGCGGGCAAGUACCUUGUGAAAUCCCACGGCUCAACCGCGGAACGGCUGGGUAUACUGCCUGUCUUGAGCCAGCUAGGGGCGAGCGGAACAGACGGUGGAGCGGUGAAAUGCGUAGAUAUCGUCUGGAACGCCGAAGGUGAAAACAGCUCGCUGGGGCUGUGCUGACGCUGAGACACGAAAGCCAGGGGAGCGAACGGG